AACGAACGCUGGCGGCAUGCCUAACACAUGCAAGUCGAACGAGACCUUCGGGUCUAGUGGCGCACGGGUGCGUAACGCCUGGGAACCUGCCCUUAGGUUCGGAAUACCUCCCCGAGAGGGGUGCUAAUACCGGAUAAUCUCUUCGCACCAAAGAUUUUUCGCUCUUGGAUGGGCCCGCGUUGGAUUAGCUGGUUGGUAGGGUAAAAGCAUACCAAGGGCAGGUUGCAGAGCUGGUAGGAGAGGAUGAUCAGCUCCACUGGGGCUGCGACACAGCCCAGAAUCCGACGGGAGGGAGCAGAGGGGAAUAUUGGACGAGGGGCGAAAGUCUGAUACAGCAAUGCCGGGGGAGUGAUGAAGGCCUUAGGGUUGCAAAGCUCCUUUAACCGGGAUGAUAAUGACAGUACCGGGAGAAUAAGCACCGGCUAACUACGUG
rnacentral:rRNA from 1 species